rnacentral:rRNA from 1 species
UACGGAGGGGACUAGCGUUGUUCAGAAUUACUGGGCGUAAAGCGCACGUAGGCGGAUUUGUAAGUCAGGGGUGAAAUCCCGAGGCUCAACCUCGGAACUGCCUUUGAUACUGCAAAUCUCGAGUCCGGAAGAGGUGAGUGGAAUUCCUAGUGUAGAGGUGAAAUUCGUAGAUAUUAGGAAGAACACCAGUGGCGAAGGCGGCUCACUGGUCCGGUACUGACGCUGAGGUGCGAAAGCGUGGGGAGCAAACAGG